UACAGAGGGGGCAAGCGUUGUUCGGAAUUACUGGGCGUAAAGGGCGCGUAGGCGGCCUUCUAAGUCGAACGUGAAAUCCCUGGGCUCAACCCAGGAACUGCGUCCGAUACUGGGAGGCUUGAAUCCGGGAGAGGGAUGCGGAAUUCCAGGUGUAGCGGUGAAAUGCGUAGAUAUCUGGAGGAACACCGGUGGCGAAGGCGGCAUCCUGGACCGGCAUUGACGCUGAGGCGCGAAAGCCAGGGGAGCAAACGGG
rnacentral:rRNA from 1 species